rnacentral:rRNA from 1 species
AUUGAACGCUGGCGUCAGGCCUAACACAUGCAAGUCGAACGGCAGCACGGGAGCAAUCCUGGUGGCGAGUGGCGAACGGGUGAGUAAUAUAUCGGAACGUGCCCAGUAGUGGGGGAUAACUGCUCGAAAGAGCAGCUAAUACCGCAUACGACCUGAGGGUGAAAGGGGGGGAUCGCAAGACCUCUCGCUAUUGGAGCGGCCGAUAUCAGAUUAGCUAGUUGGAGGGGUAAAGGCCUACCAAGGCAACGAUCUGUAGUUGGUCUGAGAGGACGACCAGCCGCACUGGAACGGGGACGCGGCCCAGACUCCUACGGGAGGCAGCAGUUGGGAAUUUUGGACAAUGGGCGCAAGCCUGAUCCAGCAAUGCCGCAGGCAGGAAGAAGGCCUUCGGGUUGAUAACUGCUUUUGUCAGGGAAGAAAUCCUCUAGGUUUAUACCCUUGGGGGGAUGACGGUACCUGAAGAAUAAGCACCGGCUAACUACGUGCCAGCCGCCGCCGUAAGAC